rnacentral:sRNA from 1 species
GUCGUGAGAUGUUGGGUUAAGUCCCGCAACGAGCGCAACCCUUGUUCCAUGUUGCCAGCGGGUGAUGCCGGGGACUCAUGGGAGACUGCCGGGGUCAACUCGGAGGAAGGUGGGGAUGACGUCAAGUCAUCAUGCCCCUUAUGUCCAGGGCUUCACACAUGCUACAAUGGCCUAUACAGAGGGCUGCGAGACCGUGAGGUGGAGCGAAUCCCUUAAAGUAGGUCUCAGUUCGGAUCGGGGUCUGCAACUCGACCCCGUGAAGUUGGAGUCGCUAGUAAUCGCAGAUCAGCAACGCUGCGGUGAAUACGUUCCCGGGCCUUGUACACACCGCCCGUCACGUCACGAAAGUUGGUAACACCCGAAGCCGAUGGCCUAACCCACUUGUGGGGGGGAGUCGUCGAAGGUGGGACUGGCGAUUGGGACGAAGUCGUAACAAGGUAGCCGUACCGGAAGGUGCGGCUGGAUCACCUCCUUUCUAAGGAGUCUCACCGUUUGGUGAGGUUGGUAUGCGUUCCCGGCGGGGUGACUUGUCGGAUCAGGGCGUGUCCCUCCUUUCACUGUUUCCACAUCGAUCAAGCGGUCGCUGCAUGUUUGUGUGGUGUCUGUGGGUGUGGCUGGGUGGAACACUUCUGCUGCUGGGUUUCGGACGUGUUGGUACAGGUUCGGCACGCUGUUGGGUCCUGAGGAGACACCCGUGUUGGUGGGUGGUUUUCUUGGUGCCGCUUCUGGUUCUGCUGUUCUAACGCGUGCGGAUGUGCGUGGUGGCGGUGGGGGGCCGGGGUGUGGUUGUGUGUUGAGUGUUGCAUAGUGGAUGCGAGCAUCUUGUUGUGGUCAAGUGUGUAAGGGCACAUGGUGGAUGUCUGGGCAUCAGGAGCCGAUGAAGGACGUGGGAGGCCACGAUAGUCCUCGGGGAGUUGUCAACCGAGCUGUGAUCCGAGGGUGU